rnacentral:rRNA from 1 species
ACCCGCUGAACUUAAGCAUAUCAGUAAGCGGAGGAAAAGAAAAUAACUAUGAUACUUUCAGUACCGGCGAGGGAAUAAAGUAAAGCUCAAAUUGAAAACCCAAAACACGAAAUUUUGGAAUUGUAAUCUAGAGAGAUAUUCGGAGGGGAUCGGGCGUGGCAUAAGUUCCUUGGAACAGGACGUCAUAGAGGGUGAAAACCCCGUAGUCGGCUACGCCUCGGAACCAACGAAUGUUUUCGAAGAGUCGGGUUGUUUGGGAUUGCAGCCCUAAAUGGGAGAUAAACUUCUCCUAAAGCUAAAUAUUUAUGGGAAACCGAUAGCGAACAAGUACUGCGAAGGAAAGAUGAAAAGAACUUUGAAAAGAGGGUUAAAAGACUUGAAAUCGUUGAGAAGGAAGUGGAAAUAGAGUAAUCAUUUGUGUACGAUGUAUGCGGGUGCUUGCCGGCUUCGCAGUAGUUUAGUACUUUAUAGGCUGGCUGCUGCGAAAGUAACGGUUUGCUACGUGGUCUUCGUAUGCAAGAGGCAGAAUGAUGUUUCGGCGCCAGGAAUCGCUUGUUCAGACGACCAGGUACUUGUACUUGAGCUGGAUAAGAAAACUGGAGUUAAGCAUGAGGGGCCUGCGGGCGAUUCUGUCAAAGUGGCUAUUUCCGCCCCGUCUUGAAACACGGACCAAGGAGUCUAUCCAGUAUGCGAGUGUUAGGGUGGAAAAACCCGAACGCAUAACGAAAGUGAGGAUAAGUUAUUAACAGUAACAGCCGACCUUGCGUCUUUGACAAUGGGAUCGAGCAAGAGCAUAUUUGAUAGGACCCGAAAGAUGGUGAACUUCGCUUGAGUAGGGUGAAGCCAGGGGAAACUCUGGUGAAAGCUCGAAGCGGUACUGACGUGCAAAUCGUUCGCCAAACUUGAGUGAAGGGGCGAAAGACUAAUCGAACCAUCUAGUAGCUGGUUCCCUCUGAAGUUUCUCUCAGGAUAGCAGGAGCAAAUAAAGCAGUUUUAUUAGGUAAAGCGAAUGAUUAGAGGAAUCGGUGCUCAAAGAGUGUUGACCUAUUCUCAAACUUUAAAUUGGUAAGAGCUGGGGGUUAUCUUAAUUGAACCUCUGGGUAGAAUGCUUGCUCCUAGUGGGCCAUUUUUGGUAAGCAGAACUGGCGAUGAGGGAUGAACCUAACGCUUAGAUAAGGUGCCUAAAUCUGCAUUCAUGAGAUCCCACAAAAGGUGUUGGUUCAUUUAGACAGCAGGACGGUGGCCCUGGAAGUCGGAAUCCGCUAAGGAGUGUGUAACAACUCACCUGCCGAAUGAACUAGCCCUGAAAAUGGAUGGCGCUGAAGUGCAGUACCGAUACUAAGCCAUUGCAGCAAAUGCGAGGCUGUAAUGAGUAAGAGGGCGUGUUCGUCAUAGUGUAGAAGCGUUUGGCGUGAGCCUGCGUGGAACGGCGAAUAGUGCAGAUCUUGGUGGUAGUAGCAAAUAUUCAAAUGAGAAUUUUGAAGACCGAAGUGGGGAAGGGUUCCAUGAGAAUAGCAAUUAGUCAUGGGUUACUCGAUCCUAAGGCAUAGGGCAAGUCCUUGCAAUGCAAUACGGAGUAUUCCGUAGCUGCCAAAAGGGAAAGGGGUUAAUAUUCCUCUAGUCGGCCGUGGAUAACAUGUGGCAACACAAAUGAGCCUGCAGACAUCAGCAUGACCCCCUGGAAGAGUUAUCUUUUCUUUUUAACUGUUUAUGGCCCUGAAAUUGGAUUAUCCAGAGAUAGGGCUGUAAGACAGGCAGAGCAGCUCACCCUAUGAGCUGUCAGGUGCGGCCAUGAUGAUCCUUGAAAAUGCAGGGGAGAUAUUUAUAUCACGCCGAAUCGUACCCAUAACCGCAUCAGGUCUCCAAGGUU